rnacentral:rRNA from 1 species
AGCAGCCGCGGUAAUUCCAGCUCCAAUAGCGUAUAUUAAAGUUGUUGCAGUUAAAAAGCUCGUAGUUGAAUUUCGGGAUCAAUAUGUUGGUCGUGCCUCGGUACGUACUAGCUUAUUGGUUUCUCCUUUCUGAAGAACCAUGAUGUCAUUUAUUUGGUGUCGUGGGGAAUCAGGACUGUUACUUUGAAAAAUUAGAGUGUUUAAAGCAGGCUCACGCUUGAAUACAUUAGCAUGGAAUAAUGAAAUAGGACGUUUGAUUCUAUUUUGUUGGUUUCUAGGAUCGACGUAAUGAUUAAUAGGGAUAGUUGGGGGCAUUAGUAUUCAAUUGUCAGAGGUGAAAUUCUUGGAUUUAUUGAAGACUAACUACUGCGAAAGCAUUUGCCAAGGAUGUUUUCAUUAAUCAAGAACGAAAGUUAGGGGAUCGAAGACGAUCAGAUACCGUCGUAGUCUUAACCAUAAACUAUGCCGACUAGGGAUCGGAUGAUGUUAAUUUUU